GGUCCGUGUUCGAAAGGGAAACAGCCCAGACCACCAGCUAAGGUCCCAAAAUAUAUGUUAAGUGGAAAAGGAUGUGGCGUUGCCCAGACAACUAGGAUGUUGGCUUAGAAGCAGCCAUCAUUUAAAGAGUGCGUAAUAGCUCACUAGUCGAGUGACACUGCGCCGAAAAUGUACCGGGGCUAAACAUAUUACCGAAGCUGUGGAUUGUCCUUUGGACAAUGGUAGGAGAGCGUUCUAAGGGCGUUGAAGCAUGAUCGUAAGGACAUGUGGAGCGCUUAGAAGUGAGAAUGCCGGUGUGAGUAGCGAAAGACGGGUGAGAAUCCCGUCCACCGAUUGACUAAGGUUUCCAGAGGAAGGCUCGUCCGCUCUGGGUUAGUCGGGUCCUAAGCUGAGGCCGACAGGCGUAGGCGAUGGAUAACAGGUUGAUAUUCCUGUACCACCUAUAAUCGUUUUAAUCGAUGGGGGGACGCAGUAGGAUAGGCGAAGCGUGCGAUUGGAUUGCACGUCUAAGCAGUAAGGCUGAGUAUUAGGCAAAUCCGGUACUCGUUAAGGCUGAGCUGUGAUGGGGAGAAGACAUUGAGUCUUCGAGUCGUUGAUUUCACACUGCCGAGAAAAGCCUCUAGAUAGAAAAUAGGUGCCCGUACCGCAAACCGACACAGGUAGUCAAGAUGAGAAUUCUAAGGUGAGCGAGCGAACUCUCGUUAAGGAACUCGGCAAAAUGACCCCGUAACUUCGGGAGAAGGGGUGCUCUUUAGGGUUAACGCCCAGAAGAGCCGCAGUGAAUAGGCCCAAGCGACUGUUUAUCAAAAACACAGGUCUCUGCUAAACCGUAAGGUGAUGUAUAGGGGCUGACGCCUGCCCGGUGCUGGAAGGUUAAGAGGAGUGGUUAGCUUCUGCGAAGCUACGAAUCGAAGCCCCAGUAAACGGCGGCCGUAACUAUAACGGUCCUAAGGUAGCGAAAUUCCUUGUCGGGUAAGUUCCGACCCGCACGAAAGGCGUAACGAUUUGGGCACUGUCUCAACGAGAGACUCGGUGAAAUCAUAGUACCUGUGAAGAUGCAGGUUACCCGCGACAGGACGGAAAGACCCCGUGGAGCUUUACUGUAGCCUGAUAUUGAAAUUCGGCACAGCUUGUACAGGAUAGGUAGGAGCCUUUGAAACGUGAGCGCUAGCUUACGUGGAGGCGCUGGUGGGAUACUACCCUAGCUGUGUUGGCUUUCUAACCCGCACCACUUAUCGUGGUGGGAGACAGUGUCAGGCGGGCAGUUUGACUGGGGCGGUCGCCUCCUAAAAGGUAACGGAGGCGCUCAAAGGUUCCCUCAGAAUGGUUGGAAAUCAUUCAUAGAGUGUAAAGGCAUAAGGGAGCUUGACUGCGAGACCUACAAGUCGAGCAGGGUCGAAAGACGGACUUAGUGAUCCGGUGGUUCCGCAUGGAAGGGCCAUCGCUCAACGGAUAAAAGCUACCCCGGGGAUAACAGGCUUAUCUCCCCCAAGAGUUCACAUCGACGGGGAGGUUUGGCACCUCGAUGUCGGCUCAUCGCAUCCUGGGGCUGUAGUCGGUCCCAAGGGUUGGGCUGUUCGCCCAUUAAAGCGGUACGCGAGCUGGGUUCAGAACGUCGUGAGACAGUUCGGUCCCUAUCCGUCGUGGGCGUAGGAAAUUUGAGAGGAGCUGUCCUUAGUACGAGAGGACCGGGAUGGACAUACCUCUGGUGUACCAGUUGUCGUGCCAACGGCAUAGCUGGGUAGCUAUGUGUGGACGGGAUAAGUGCUGAAAGCAUCUAAGCAUGAAGCCCCCCUCAAGAUGAGAUUUCCCAACUUCGGUUAUAAGAUCCCUCAAAGAUGAUGAGGUUAAUAGGUUCGAGGUGGAAGCAUGGUGACAUGUGGAGCUGACGAAUACUAAUCGAUCGAAGACUUAAUCAA
rnacentral:rRNA from 1 species